GGCCUCCCUCUGUGGGGUGAUCGAUCUGGGGGCCCCGCAAUUGAUCGCCCCACAGAGGGAGAGGCC
rnacentral:pre_miRNA from 1 species